UACGGGGGGGGCAAGCGUUGUUCGGAAUUACUGGGCGUAAAGGGCUCGUAGGCGGCCAACUAAGUCAGACGUGAAAUCCCUCGGCUUAACCGGGGAACUGCGUCUGAUACUGGAUGGCUAGAGUUUGGGAGAGGGAUGCGGAAUUCCAGGUGUAGCGGUGAAAUGCGUAGAUAUCUGGAGGAACACCGGUGGCGAAGGCGGCAUCCUGGACCGAUACUGACGCUGAGGAGCGAAAGCGUGGGUAGCAAACAGG
rnacentral:rRNA from 1 species